rnacentral:tRNA from 1 species
GUGGGUAUAGCUCAGUGAUAGAGCAUGUGCUUAGCACACAUGAGGUCCUGGGUUCAAUCCCCAGUACCUCCA